UACGUAGGGGGCGAGCGUUGUCCGGAUUCAUUGGGCGUAAAGGGCGCGUAGGCGGCGCAACAAGUCACUUGUGAAAUCUCCGGGCUUAACCCGGAGCGGCCAAGUGAUACUGUCGUGCUAGAGUGCGGAAGGGGCUACUGGAAUUCUCGGUGUAGCGGUGAAAUGCGUAGAUAUCGAGAGGAACACCUGCGGCGAAGGCGGGUAGCUGGGCCGACACUGACGCUGAGGCGCGAAAGCCAGGGGAGCGAACGGG
rnacentral:rRNA from 1 species